CGAAUAAUCUAGAGGGCGUAUCGAACAAUCGAUUUUGGUCGUAUGAAAAUAAGGUUGCCGUUCUCGAGUUUGUACAUAUCAUGAUUCGACGGUGUAACAUAACCUCGAUCACAUACACACACACGGAACACUGUACAGGACCACAAAAAUUUAGGAAAAAUCGUUCGGAGUUUCGCUUGUAUCAAUUUUUUUUUCUUUCCACACGUGACAGAUCGAUGACUGAACCCAUGACAUGAUUAAUUAAUGUGUUAUAUCGGAUUGUCAAUGCUUCAGAUCUUGAUCAGCGUGCGAUAAUCGUGUAAUCGUCCUCGAGCAUCACACGGACACAUUCGUCGCGAGAAACAUCUCUUUUGUAGGACGGAGUACGAUGAAUUAUUUAUUAUGUUGCCGUCGACCGGGUACUUUAAGACGAUAAAUUGCCCGUUUUAUGACAGUGGAUCGUGCGAUCGGCCUUAUUGUCACUUCAAACAUGCUAGACGAGAAGAUGCUGGAAGCACAGCAGGAGUGGCUGGAGUGGUGGAGGAUCAGGCAACGGGACAAGCGCAAGAAAGCAAAUCUGCCGAUGUGGCCUCAAAUCCUGACAUGCUGCAACAGUUAGUGUCAGAAGCUGUAAAGAAGGUAUUGGCGGAUCAAAAGGUUACAGAUACAGAGCAAGUUUCACAGAAUAUUGUGUCUCAAGUAGUGGAAGGACUCAAGCCAACCUUAGCUUCUAACUCCAUUGCUUCUGUGCAUAAUGUUUUGCCAAAUAUAGUUGGAAGAAAUAUCGCAUUGCCCGCAACUAUUACAAAACCAAAUGCUUGUGUCUAUAACCCAACACCAAUAGCUGAAUUAAAGAAACGUCACAUACCGGUGGUUUCGUAUAUGCUUACCAGAGAGAGUAGAGUGGCUGUCAAACGCAAACCCUCGCCGGAAGGCAUUAAACCGUGGUUAAGCAUUGUUCAUGAAUUUGAAAAUUCUCAGCCAGAAGUUACAUACAAACCUACUGCCAUAGUUAAUCAGAUCGAUCAGAAUGCCGGAAACAAUUAUAUGUCUGUAUUGCAAUCGGACGCAUCUUCAAACUCGUUUGAAGGCGGUUCAAACAAUCUGUUUAAACCUAAAGAAGAGUAUCAUCCAAAAUCUAAAAAGAGAAGAGAAGAAUAUGUUCCUAAAAAAGUUAAAGCGCCGUUGAAGACGGUUCAGCAAUUAAAUGAUUCCACACUGGAUGGAUACAAAUCAGAUACGUUUGACAUAAUGGAUGAGGUCUUUGCUGCCAAUAUUGCUUCUAAUUCCUUGGAACAAGAAUUAAGCAACGAUUCUCAGGAAUACUCUUUGGACAUUGAACCUAAGUUUUCUGAUGAUGAAUCUAUUGAAGACAUAUCCAAGAAUAAAGAUGACACAACUAUCAAAAAGACUGAACAAAUAGAAGAUAAAACUGAGAAAGAGAAGGAAAAUUUGCAAUGCGCAUCAACUACAACUGUAAAUAAACAAUCAAACAAUAAAGAUAAUACAAUAAAUAACAAUCAUUAUGAUAAGACAAGUGAUGCAGAAAGUAAUGAUAAGUCUAAACAACAUGAAACAAAGGAUGCGGAUAAAUCGUCAGAAAGAAAAAAGGAUAGUACAAAUAAAAGUACCGAUAAGAAAAAAGAAAAACGCGACAGUCACAGUAAAAGCAGAGAAAGGGAUAGGAAAGAUCGUCACAGUUCUGAGAGAAGAGACAAAGAAAAGUCCAGACAUAAAUCAGAUUCGAAAGACAGACAUCGAUCAUCUUCGAGCAAAGACAAAGAUAGAAAGAAAAGCGACCGUGACAAGUCCUCACAUAGAAGCAGGGAACAUUCGGACUCGCGAAAACACAGGCACGCGUCUUCGAAAAAAGAUCGAAAUGAUCACAAAUCUAGCCAGCGCGACAAACAUAGAUCAAGCUCAAGUUCUAAGUCGAGUAAACACACGUCGAGCAAAAGCGACAGAAAGUAUCACUCGGAAUCGAGUCAAAAAUCCGAUGAUUUUUUUAAAAAAUCCAGCAAACGCAAAGAAAGCAACAGCGAGGACAAAUCAUCCGAUAGAUCGUCCGAUGGUUCUCCAAGCAGUAUUUAUUCUCUGAUAGACGACGAGAUGUUGGGAUUAUCGGAUUCUGAUCAUGAUAUACAAGAAGAAUGCUUGAAAAUUUUCCAGGAAUACCAGCCUUGUGACCAAUCAAAACUAGUAUCACUCAAAAAAGAAAGACAGGAAGCCGAGGAUACAGAAGAAAUCGGCAAAAAAAGGAUUGCUCAUCCCUCAGCGGCCACGAACGUCACUAGAAAUGUAGGUUCUAGUCAGCCACAAAAAAAGGUCAUAAAUCCACAACUGAGAAUGUAUGAGCGGUGGCGUUUCAUGAAAACACAAGCAGCCGAAAUGGCUGCAGAAAAGGCUGCGGCUAAUGCAAGUACACACCCGUCUCAAGUUACAUCCGCAUCAGCAGUUCAUGUUCCGAGUACUGCGCGAAAAGAAUAUACAGAAAUCACAUCGUCGAUAAGCAAUAAUGACGUUCAGUCGAACACAAAUGGUCGCGUUAGGAUCGCUCAUGUUCCGUAUGCAAAGUCACUUGCACUGGAAAAAAAGAAAGUUACAGAGACAGUGGUAAAAACUGCGGAUAAUAAAAUAGAAAACAAAACAGUUGCACAAACUACGAAGCGUGCGCGUGUUGCUCAUAUUCCACAAACGAUGCCUCAACUUAUACGCUCAGAACCGCUCCAAGGCGCAACCCAGAAGUUUCCUAUAAAUGUUCGUCAGUAUUAUCUCAAUUUGAUGCACGACGUAUGCGUGCAAAUCUACACAAACGGCGACGACGCGUCACAACGAGCCGUUAAGGAAGAAUUUGCGUGCCACGAGAAGUGUAAGGCACUCGCAGUUUAUAAGAAUUCAUGUAUGUUGGCAAUUCACAAACUAAAGAAAGAAGUAGAUCAGAACAAAAAUCCGGACGAAAAAUCCAGCGGACUCAAUUACGGCAUGAUGUCUCACGAAGCUGUGCUUGCUGGUAAAUCAAAGGGUUCUUGGAGUGUGAUCAAGAACAAAAGAAAUUUAGUAGACAUUAAAGGAUCUGCGUUUUACAACAUACUCAAAAAAUGGAUCCUAUCGGAGACACAACUCAGAGAUAAUGGCUUUCCCCGUAAACAUCCAGAUGGCACAAAGGGGCGAGCAAAGAUUUACAUAAGAAAUGCGCGGAACGAAGGUGUGUUAUCUAAAGUGCCUAACGAAAGAAUAUGCAGCCGAUGUGGCCAAACGUAUAUGGUCAACAAGCACGGUUUUGCUGUACUACAACAAAAUUGUAUAUUUCACUGGGGAAGAAAGUUCACCUUUAGAGGCGAGAGCAAGUACAGUUGCUGCCAACAGUUCGGAUCUGCUUCUGGUUGUUGCGAUGCCAAAACUCACGUGUGGGAUUAUGUAGACUAUGAAAAUCUUCGCGGUUACGUUACAACUUUGUCAAAAAGUAUUCCUACGGACGAGCAAGGUAUCUACGCGCUCGACUGUGAGAUGUGUUAUACUACACAAGGUUUGGAAUUAACUAGAGUAACGGUAAUCGACGAGGAUUGUAAGGUGAUAUAUGAAACGUUAGUCAAACCACAGAAUUCAAUAAUCGAUUACAAUACAAGGUUUUCUGGGAUUACGGAAGAAGAUAUGAAGGACGUAACGACGACUAUUUUAGACGUGCAAGCUACGCUUCUUACGAUGUUCUCGGACAAGACAAUUUUGGUGGGUCACAGCCUCGAGAGCGAUUUCAAAGCUUUGAAGCUGCUCCACGACACUGUUGUGGAUACUAGCGUUAUGUUCCCCCACAAAAACGGAUAUCCCCAGAAACGAGCUUUGAAAAAUCUUUGUUCCGAAUACCUCAAGAAAAUCAUACAAAAUGACAUCAAUGGUCAUGAUAGUAACGAGGACGCUGUUGCUUGUAUGGAAUUGGUUAAGUGGAAAGUGAAGGAGGAAGUGAAAUUGCAGUAAAUAAAUUUCGUACUGAUGCAGCACAGACGAACAAACUUCAUCGCAAUUGCUGUUUUAAAAGCAAUUUUUGCUUUUGUGCGACGUGCCUACUUAAUAUUGUCGCGUACAUCUUCCUGCCUAUUAAAGAGAGACGAGAUACGACGUUGUAUCUUGGUUUUUAUUUACUUCCCCCAACCUCGCAGUGUAAAUAGGUACGUGUGUUACAAGGAUUUGCAAUAUAUAAAAAAUUCAACACUUCUUAUUACACUGAUAUUACAUGCGUUUAAAGUCGCAAAAAAGAUAUUACAUUUUAUGUACAUUUAUUUGCGUAUAUUGCAAUUGUAAACUACACAAUUACACGGUUACUUUAGCACUGCAGUGAAAGAAAAAAAAGCAAGCUCUCUCAAGCAUGCAUUUUCAAGAUUGCGUUGUCACAUCGACACACGAUUAUAUUCCUGUCAGAGUAAUAAAGCAAACACCUGUGAUUUGUUCAAAUAACAAAUUAUGACUAUUUAAAUGUCGUUAAUACUCACAUAGUAACAAAGUAAGACAAUUAUUAACAAGUUGAAAAACAAAAAAAAAAUAAAAAAAAAAAUAAAAAAUAAAAAACCAAAGUUUCAAUGGAUGUUGAAGAAAUUAAGAAAACAAACGUUUGUAUAUGAAAGCUACAAAGUUGAUGUAAUUCACAAUUUAUAUGUUUGUACAUAUGCAUUUUUUUAAUGAAAUCUAAUCAGAAAAAGAGAGAUGUGUAAAGAGUGUGAUAUGUAAUUUAUACAUAUUACUUAUAUUUACAACGUGUAAAAAACAUCUGAGAAGUGAAAACGGAAAAGUGUCAAAUAAAAGCGAGAAUGACGCACUGGAAAACAAAAAUCUUAUCUGACAUUUAUUUCUCUUAUAUAUUAAUCCUAUAUCAUUUUUUCCAAUAAUGUUUACUUUAUAUUUUUGCUUAACCAACUGUUGAAAAAGAAAGGCCUCGCGGACGUUUUUGCUCUCUCUCUCUCUCUCUCUCUCUCUCUUUCUCUCUCUCUCUCUCUCUCU